rnacentral:lncRNA from 12 species
AUGACCACAAACACAGUAUCAUCAGUCAUGUAUGCAAAUGCUUUCUCCCGAUCACGUUCUCCUCCACCUGUUCCUGCACAACAGAGGCACCGCCUGACUUCAACCAGCAGUUUUCUGUCAGAUUCAAGCCGAAACUCUUCAAUGGUAAUGAUAUUUAUUACAAUGUUCUUUCAUAUUAUUUUACAUGCUUAUUAUAUAUAAAUAUAAGACAUACACACAAAUUUUACAUACACCUUAAACCAGUGUACAGCAUUGACAUUGCAGAAAGAUUGGAAAGAUAGCAUAAGAUGUUAUUUACAUCUCUUCAACAGGAGGACAUGGACUUUGUCUCUUUGCUCAGAGAGUUUCAACACAUGCAUCUCAGUGGCAGUGAGAAUGUUUCAGUAUUGGUUUCUCGUAACAAGGUGCUGAAGAGUGCUAAAGAUUUUGUUUCCAACUCUAAUUUCCCUUGGACCAAAAUCCCUCUCAUUACAUUUGAUGGCGAGGAAGCACUUGACUGUGGAGGUCCACGGAGAGAGUUUUUCAGGUAUUCCUCUUACAAAGAUGAAUACAUAUUCUUCUUUAACAAAAUGUACAGUAGAAGACCAGUUCUCAAAUAUGAAACAUGCACUGUAUGUCACAGUUUGACAUCUGUUGUUUCUCCUUUACCCCUGCCUCAGAAUCUUGAUGAUGGAGGUGCAGAGCUCGCUGGGCAUCUUUGAGGGGCAGCCUGGACACUUGUUCUUCACCUAUGACCAGAUGGCUUUGGAGGAACACAAGUAUGAGUUGGCGGGGAAGCUGAUUGUGUGGUCUGUGGCUCAUGGCGGCCCAGGACUCAAGUCUCUUGACCCCUGCCUGUACCAGCUGAUGUGCACCCAGGAAUGUCAACUGGUAGACUUUGACUGGCACCUAAUACCAGAUGCUGACAUUCAGGACAAACUGCAAAAGAUUUCGUCAUGCAAAACGACGGCAGAUCUCCAGAGGCUGCAGACAGAGCUGGGCGACUGGAUCUGUGAAUGUGGUUUCCUUGGAAUAUACAGACAUGAAAUUUCCAUUCGAGAUGUUCCAAAGAUUUACUCCUUUGCAGUUCGACACUACAUAUAUCUAAGAACAUCAAAUAUGAUUCAUCAGUUCACAAAGGGACUGAAUGCUUAUGGACAGUUCUGGGAUAUGGUGAGCACUCACUGGGUUGAGUUUCUACCCAUCUUUACCAACAUGCAUGAGCCCCUUUCCAGAAGCACCUUCACAGACUUAUUCCAAAUCCACUGGAGUAAAUCAGGGACCGAGAAGAGGAAGGCUGAGGAGGAGACUAUACAGUACUGGGAACUGGUGCUUAAAAUGAUUGAAGGUGAGGUAGUUACAAAAUGAACUGUGAAAUGAAUUGUAAAUAAUUGUCUAUAAGUUUGCUUGCAAUUAGCAGUUCGUUUGGACUCAAGCUUAUCAUUUUCCCUCAACAGAUAAAAAACCAAAAGCACUGGAAAACCAGUUGCAUUUUGAGGAAAUUUUGACUUUCAUAACCGGAGCGGAUGAAGUCCCACCACUUGGGUUCUCCCAGAAGCCCAGCAUUCAUUUCUACCAGCCAGAGCAGCGUGGAUGCCGUCUACCAUAUGCCAACACAUGCAUGAUGGGAUUGUUCCUUCCCAGGGUUGUAAAAGAUGAAGUGGAACUUUACAGGAUGCUCCUGAGAGCAAUCAGAGACUCAGCUGAUUUUGGGAGAACAUAAACAUAUAUAUAUAUAAUUCUUCAUUAUAAUGGACAUGGUCACAUCCAUAAUAUAUAGUUACCUAUGUGUAUAAGCUUUAUUUCAUAAUUUAUUAUAAUAUUUCAUUACAUAAGAAGAGGCACUUAUGCACUUUCAGUUAUUUGUAUAUUCUGUAUAGUUUUGACAUCAAGAUGCCAGACACAUUUUUUAUAUUUAAAAAAAAAAACAUUAUUAUUAUUAUUAUUAUUAUUAUUAUUAUUAUUAUUUUUGUUUUCAAACAACUGUCAGUCAUCUCUCGAAUAAAGAAACAAACUGAGUGUUUCUCUUGUACAGUUGGGGAGGAGCGAUAAAAGAACAGCGAUUCACCAAAUCAACAAUGAUUUCAUACAAUGUCAAUACUAUAAUAUAAUAACCAUAGGUCUAUGAAAUAUUUCAAGCACGACAAAACANAGCGUAAUUUUUGUACCACUGUACAACAACAAUUACUAUUUUUUUUUCUUAUUGUGAGGGGUAGGUUUAGAGUUGGUGUAGGUGUAGACGUUAAUGAAACACAAUCGAAUAGGUAGAAAGUUAAUUUCAUUGUUCGUUUCCGGUCGGAGCUGCAUCCCGUCCAGCGAAUUAUGCCUCUUUUCACUCGUAGUGAUGUAGCCUAGUAAAAAAGCUACAAGCGAGUUUGCCUGAAAACAAGAUUUCCUCCGCUCUGUACAAAAUACGAUGAUCUCAAUGCGCUGGCGUCUGAGAGACAAAUCCGAAGGGACCGUCUGCAAAGUGCGAAACGCGAAAAAGGUUACUAAUAAAAUACUCAAUAACUUCACAGUAACACACUGUAGUGUCACCAAAUUCAGUUCACACAUCACUGCUCUCCUGCUGGUUAUACAUCAACGUUGAUUUUGAAAAUAGUUGCUUUUGCACAAUUUUUUAUGAUUUUUUAAUUAUGAAAACGUUAAUAACUUUACUGUAACACACUGUACUUUCACCAAAUUCAGUUCACACAUCACUGCUCUCCCGCAGGUUAUACUACAACACUCAUAUUGAAAAUAAUUGCUUUUGCACAUUUUUAAUUUUUUUUUUAUUAUGAAAAAUAGUUAAUAACUUUACUGUAAAACACUGUACAUUCAUCAAAUUCAGUUCACACAUAACUGCUCUCCUGCUGGUUAUAUUACAACACUCGUUUUGAAAUCUAUUGCUUUGGCACAUUUUUUAGGAUUUUUUAUUAUGAAAAAUUGUUAAUAACUUCACCGUUAUUGGACAUAAUACACUGUAAAAAAUGAUUGUGAUUUUAACAGUAAAAGACUGUAAAAAUGCUACAGUAAAAACCUUUUAAUUGGUUAUCAGUAAGUUACCAUACUAUAUACGGUGAAUAACUGUAAUUACAUUUAAUGUCAUUUUACAGUAAAAUACUGUAGUAUUUGGAAGUGAAAAAGAAAAAGCCAUUGUACAAUUUACAGUGAAAAACUGUAAAUUGACACUCCCAGAAUUCCCUGCAUGACACUUCAUAUUUUUUUUCGUUGAAAUUACUGUUUCUUCUUAGUUUUUUCUUAUCACUUGUGUACAUUGGGGUUUUAUCUGACAUCUAAUGUUGUUAAAUUAAUGUUUAUUGCAUUAUUUCAGUAUCAUGUGUGUUUCAUGUGUGUACCAUGCUUUUGGUGAUUAUCAGUAUUACAGUGGUUAAAAACAGAUAUUAGUACUUCAAUAUGCGGGUGUAUUAACAUUACAUCAGUUAAUGAAAUACGUUUUUUUACUGUGAAUUUAAGUUAAGUCUGUAAAGCCUAAAAUGUUGCUACCAUAUUUUAACGGUGAAAUUCUGGCAACCACAGCUGCCAGUAUUUUACCGUAAAUGUCAGAGAUUUUUUUUUUUGUGUAGUUAAUAACUUUACUGUAACACACUGUACAUUCAUCAAAUUCAGUUCACACAUCACUGCUCUCCUGCUGGUUAUACUACAACGUUGAUUUUGAUAAUAGUUGCUUUUCCACAAUUUUUUAUGAUUUUUUAAUUAUGAAAACGUUAAUAACUUUACUUUGAAAUGUAUUGAUUUGGCACAUUUUUUAGGAUUUUAUAUUAUGAAAAAUAGUUAAUAACUUCACCGUUAUUGGACAUAAACACUGUAAAAAAUGAUUGUGAUUUUAACAGUAAAAGACUGUAAAAAUGCUACAGUAAAAACCUGUUAAUUGGUUAUCAGUAAGUUACCAUACUAUAUACGGUGAAUAACUGUAAUUACAUUUAAUGUCAUUUUACAGUAAAAUACUGUAGUAUUUGGAAGUGAAAAAGAAAAAGCCAUUGUACAAUUUACAGUGAAAAACUGUAAAUUGACACUCCCAGAAUUCCCUGCAUGACACUUCAUAUUUUUUUUUUCAUUGAAAUAACUGUUUCUUCUUAGUUUUUUCUUAUCACUUGUGUACAUUGGGGUUUUAUCUGACAUCUAAUGUUGUUAAAUUAAUGUUUAUUGCAUUAUUUCAGUAUCAUGUGUGUUUCAUGUGUGUACCAUGCUUUUGGUGGUUAUCAGUAUUAAAGUGGUUAAAAACAGAUAUUAGUACUUCAAUAUGCUGGUUUAUUAACAUUACAUCAGUUAAUGAAAUACGUUUUUUUACUGUGAAUUUAAGUUAAGUCUGUAAAGCCUAAAAUGUUGCUACCAUAUUUUAACGGUGAAAUUCUGGCAACCACAGCUGCCAGUAUUUUACCGUAAAUGUCACAGAUUUUUUUUUUUGUGUAGUUAAUAACUUUACUGUAACACACUGUACAUUCAUCAAAUUCAGUUCACACAUCACUGGUCUCCUCCUGGUUAUACUACAACUUUCAUUGUAAAUAUAAUUGCUUUUGCAUAUUUUUUUAUGAUUGUUCAUUAUGGAAAAAUAGGUAAUAACUUUGUAACUACAUAACUUCAUGAUGUAAUAAAAUUACAUAAUUUAUGGACUUUGGUUCCACACAAUACAAACAUGUAUCUCAACUUAGAUACCUAAUGCAGUUUACUUUUCAGUUAACUGUAGGAUGUACAGUAAUAGCACAUAAUGAAAAUAAGAAUUCUCAACACAAAUUAUGUUGUUACCCACCUAACAUAGAUACUCUCACAGUGUCAUUAAGUUUGGAGGUUAUUUUGUGUCUGCACCUUUCCCUGCCUGUGUUAAUUGCCAUGGUCACUGAUUUUUUGUCAUUUCAUUUAGCUGUGGUGCCACUAAUCACCUAGUUUGGAUUGCCUGUGUGUUGGAUUAAAAAACUUUUGAAACAUCCAUCUUUGUAUAUUUAGCACAUUGUGACUGUAGCUUUUAGACAAAAAUAAUUUUUCUUCUCUGUUUUCUAGAUUUCUAAAUUUCUCUUCCUUUGCAGUCCUGAGCAGAUAAUGAUUGGAAGUGUAAAUCGUUGUAUUUGCUUCUAUAAUAAAAUGUAAAACAACAAAAAUACAUGUAGUGUAAGCUCAAACGGAUUAAGUAAACCGAUUUAUCAUGAUUAAAUUAAGUUGUGCCAGCAUCAUAAAAUAAUUGUGUUGUAUGACCUUCUUGUAUUUAUUUACAUGGAACUGUAUAAGAACUACCAUAACUGCACACUCUCCAUUUGCACAGAACUGUACAGCUCUCUCUCUCUAUAUAUAUAUGUUUGUGUGUGUGUGUGUUAUCCUGUUAUGUUUGAAGUACAUAUUUUAUUGUAUUAAAUUUAAUUUAUUGCUUACAUUUUGUACUUUUGUGUGUGAUAUUCCAUUUUUCAUUGCCUAUGUCUCUACUUUUUCAACACUGGAAGCACCUGUGACCAAGACAAAUUUCUUGUGUGUGUCGGGUCUAUGGGCUAAUCACCUGCCUUUUGGGGUUGUUACUGAGUGUUUGUUGUGAGUUUGGAUGGUUUGACAGCUCACCGCGUGUGUCUGUUUGAUUGUUUCCCCGCCCUCCUGGUUUCUCCGCUUGUUACCUAGAUUGGUUGCCAUCUGGUCCCUGUUACCUCUAAUGUCUUCCCUUUAUAGUUCCCUGUGUUUCUCUGUUUGUUGUCAGACUGUUGUUACUCGUACCGAUAGCUCCGACCUUCUAGUUUGUCUGUGUACUCACCUUGUGUCUUGUCAUCAGGCUCCUGUGCUCGUAGCAGUUUAUCUCACCUCCUUUCACGUGAAUUCAGUUUCAAGAAAUCCUCACGCUGUCAUCGGUACCCUGGUCUCGGCUGUUGAGCAAACAGUCACUCGGGUUAGUGAUCCAACCCACCGGCCACCCCUCUCUGGUCGUUGUUUCGGCUGAUGUCGGUCGCCGCUGCCCUCUUCCUCUCUCGAUCGGGUGACGGCAUUCCUCGAGCGGACUGUGGAACAACCAUUCAC